rnacentral:rRNA from 1 species
CCAAUAGCGUAUAUUAAAGUUGUUGCAGUUAAAAAGCUCGUAGUUGAAUUUCGGGGUUAGUAGGCUGGUCGUGCCUUUGGUAUGUACUGGCUUUACUGAUUCCUCCUUCUUGAAGAACCAUAAUGCCAUUAAUUUGGUGUUGUAGGGAAUCAGGACUGUUACUUUGAAAAAAUUAGAGUGUUUAAAGCAGGCUAACGCUUGAAUACAUUAGCAUGGAAUAAUAGAAUAGGACGUUCGAUCCUAUUUUGUUGGUUUCUAGGAUUGACGUAAUGAUUAAUAGGGAUAGUUGGGGGCAUUAGUAUUCAAUUGUCAGAGGUGAAAUUCUUGGAUUUAUUGAAGACUAACUACUGCGAAAGCAUUUGCCAAGGAUGUUUUCAUUAAUCAAGAACGAAAGUUAGGGGAUCGAAGACGAUCAGAUACCGUCGUAGUCUUAACCAUAAACUAUGCCGACUAGGGAUCGGAUGAUGUUAAUUUUUUAAUGACUCAUUCGGCGCCUUACG